rnacentral:rRNA from 1 species
GAACGGGUGAGUAACACGUGGGUGAUCUGCCCUGCACUUUGGGAUAAGCCUGGGAAACUGGGUCUAAUACCGAAUAGGACCACGCGCUUCAUGGUGUGUGGUGGAAAGCUUUUGCGGUGUGGGAUGGGCCCGCGGCCUAUCAGCUUGUUGGUGGGGUAAUGGCCUACCAAGGCGACGACGGGUAGCCGGCCUGAGAGGGUGACCGGCCACACUGGGACUGAGAUACGGCCCAGACUCCUACGGGAGGCAGCAGUGGGGAAUAUUGCACAAUGGGCGCAAGCCUGAUGCAGCGACGCCGCGUGAGGGAUGACGGCCUUCGGGUUGUAAACCUCUUUCAAUAGGGACGAAGCGCAAGUGACGGUACCUAUAGAAGAAGCACCGGCCAACUACGUGCCAGCAGCCGCGGUAAUACGUAGGGUGCGAGCGUUGUCCGGAAUUACUGGGCGUAAAGAGCUCGUAGGUGGUUUGUCGCGUUGUUCGUGAAAACUCACAGCUUAACUGUGGGCGUGCGGGCGAUACGGGCAGACUAGAGUACUGCAGGGGAGACUGGAAUUCCUGGUGUAGCGGUGGAAUGCGCAGAUAUCAGGAGGAACACCGGUGGCGAAGGCGGGUCUCUGGGCAGUAACUGACGCUGAGGAGCGAAAGCGUGGGGAGCGAACAGGAUUAGAUACCCUGGUAGUCCACGCCGUAAACGGUGGGUACUAGGUGUGGGUUCCUUCCUUGGGAUCCGUGCCGUAGCUAACGCANNAAGUACCC